rnacentral:rRNA from 1 species
UACGUAGGGUGCGAGCGUUAAUCGGAAUUGCUGGGCGUAAAGCGUGCGCAGGCGGUUUUGUAAGCCAGAUGUGAAAGCCCCGGGCUUAACCUGGGAAUGGCAUUUGGGACUGCAAGGCUUGAGUGCGGCAGAGGAGACUGGAAUUCCUGGUGUAGCAGUGAAAUGCGUAGAUAUCAGGAGGAAUACCGAUGGCGAAGGCAGGUCUCUGGGCUGACACUGACGCUCAUGCACGAAAGCGUGGGGAGCAAACAGG